GCCCCGGUAGCUCAGUGGAUAGAGCAACCGCCUCCUAAGCGGUAGGUCGCGCGUUCGAUUCGCGCUCGGGGCACCA
rnacentral:tRNA from 11 species